rnacentral:rRNA from 1 species
GAUGAACGCUGGCGGCGUGCUUAACACAUGCAAGUCGAACGGUGAAAGAGUGCUUGCUCUCUGGGUCAGUGGCGAACGGGUGAGUAACACGUGAGCAAUCUCCCCCUGACUCUGGGAUAUGCGUUGGAAACGGCGUCUAAUAUCGGAUACGAGAUCUGAAGCCAUCUUCUGGAGCUGGGAAGGACUGCGGGUGGGGAUGGGCUCGCGGCUUAUCAGCUUGUUGGUGGGGGAACGUAUUAUCAAGGGGUCGAAGGGUAUCCGGCCUGAGAGGGGGACCGGCCAAAUUGGGACGGAGAAACGGCCCAGACUCCCACGGGAGGGAGCAGGGGGGAAUAUUGCACAAUGGGCGGAAGCCUGAUGCAGCAACGCCGCGGGGGGGAUGACGGCCUUCGGGUUUUAAACCGCUUUUGCCUGUGACGAAGCGGGAGGGACGGUAAUGGGUAAAGAAGCACCGGCUAACUACGGG